GAUGAAGAACGUAGCGAAAUGCGAUACUUGGUGUGAAUUGCAGAAUCCCGUGAACCAUCGAGUCUUUGAACGCAAGUUGCGCCCGAAGCCAUUAGGCCGAGGGCACGCCUGCCUGGGCGUCACACGUCGUUGCCCCCCCAUCUACUCCUUCGGGAUUGCGGGGGGCGGAUGAUGGCCACCCGUGCGCCUCGUCGCGCGGUUGGCAUAAAUACCAAGUCCUCGGCGACGCACGCCACGACAAUCGGUGGUUGCGAAACCUCGGUUGCCCGUCGUGUGCGGUCGUCGCGCAUCGAGGGCUCGAAAAAAUUGCCGGGCUCCGGCUCGGCUUUCAACGCGACCCCAGGUCAGGCGGGGUUACCCGCUGAAUUUAAGCAUAUCAAUAAGCGGAGGA
rnacentral:misc_RNA from 1 species